rnacentral:rRNA from 1 species
CCCAGACUCCUACGGGAGGCAGCAGUAGGGAAUCUUCCGCAAUGGACGAAAGUCUGACGGAGCGACGCCGCGUGAGUGAUGAAGGCUUUCGGGUCGUAAAACUCUGUUGUUAGGGAAGAACAAGUACGAGAGUAACUGCUCGUACCUUGACGGUACCUAGCCAGAAAGCCACGGCUAACUACGUGCCAGCAGCCGCGGUAAUACGUAGGUGGCAUGCGUUAUCCGGAAUUAUUGGGCGUAAAGCGCGCGCAGGCGGUUUCUUAAGUCUGAUG